AAAGGCCAGACCAGAUUCAAGGGGCGGGAGAAACAGACUUCUGCUCUUGCUAGGAGGAGAUGCAAAGUCAUAUUACAAAGGGCAUGGGUACAAAGAGAGGUAGAGAACCAGAACUGGUGCUAAUUUUUUCAUCAAUUUUUAUGUAACCCUUGAAAAUUAUUUCUAGCUGUAUCAUGCUCCACACAGUGUACAUGGAGAAAUUUCUCCUGUUAAUUGGGAUAUUGGUACUAGAUGGCCACAAAAUGCGCUUUCCAAUGGAAGGAUUCAACAAUUCUGUGAUUAUACCCACAAAAAUUAGAAUGGAGGAGAAAAAACGGACUUUGAAUCAAUAAAAUAUGUCACUUAGUUUGAAAGUAUGUUUUUCCUAGUGAAUGGGCUUUAGUUUUGAGGAGGAAAAGAAGCUGCAAAUAGCUUUCUAACAAUGAGGAAGAUCUAGUUCCUUUUGAAGCAACUGGAAAGCAGUAAAAGAUCACCAGGCUCCCGGAUGUGGCAUGUCAGAAAGUUCCAGAGGAUCAUGAGCAAGAUGAAUUGCCUGCUGUGUGAGAAAGAUAAAGUUCACAGGGUAAUUCAUUCAGAACCAGGUCUAUUUCAUUUUCUUAUCAAAGAAAUUUAUCAUUUAAUUGCCAGGUCCUCAUCAUAUGUCCUAUUGCCUACUGCCUUUUCAUCCUUUAUUAUUUUGUUACAUUACUCUCUCCUCCUUGCUUGUAUAUGGGAUGGCAGUGCAUAGGAGCAGGAAGACGAGUAAUUGGCUCUAAUUAAGUAUCUCUAUGGUAAUAACUACAGAAACCCAAUAUAUCUAUAAUGUGUUUUUGGAAACACCUAUCCAUAUACUGCAAACAGAGUGCACAGAGAUGUUUUAUGGCAUCUGUAAUCACAUAUGUACAUAUUUUAAGAGGAACUAUGUUUCCUUCUCCAUAGGAACCUAUUCACAGCAACAGAAUGUCAGUUGAGUUUAUCAGACAUUUCCUUCUAGUGUCAUUGUCUCUGAGGACUAAGACUCUGAAAGUACACUGUUAGAGAGUUACCACAUUCAAGUCAAACAAAAAGAGAAGUGACUCUUUUUACGAGUGGAAAGAAAGCCAAAGAUUCCUGAGUCCAAUUUCCUCACUUUACAUGUGAGAGCUACUCACACCUGACUUAGGUAAGGUCACAAAUUAAACAUUGACAGAGCCAGGACUACAAAUUAGAUUUCUCCCAAAUGAUCAGUCUUUGCUUCUUUCUAUUUCAGCAUUCCUUCCACUUUCCAGCAUGCCUAUUUGAAUGUUAACCUCUCUAUUGUAGUGUGAAUUUUCUCCAUGAUUCUUGCCUUGUGAGAUUUUUACACAUCUCUCCUCCUAGAGCCAGCAUUGGAGCAUGUUGUGCAAAGAAAUAUUUUUUUCUGGAUGCUCCUUUCACAGCAGGAAGGCUCUUAUGUAGUAAAUUCAAAAUGUCAAUUUUAAAAUGUGGUCCCAAUACCUUUGACAUUUCCUAUUGAGAAGAGGAGUCUCUGCCCACUGCCCUUGGAUGUGAUGGAGCUUUGACUACUUCGGCAAAUGUGACAUCCAAAGCUAGAUUGUAAAACUCAGUGUAGCUUCUGACGACACUGAGAAGCUCUUAGGAAGUCUGCUUUUGGAACUCAGCCUCCAGAUGAGAAGAAGUGAGGCCACAUAGAGGUAUUCUGGACAACAGUCCAAGCUGAAGUUCCAAGUGACAGCCAUCCUCAACUGCUAAAUAAGUAGGUGAGGAAGGCUUUGCAAUGACUCCAGACCCAGCCAACAUCUGAUUGCAACUGCACGAGAAACUCUAAGAGAGAAACACCGGGCUGAGCCCUGUCAACACUCAGAGCUGUACCAGAUAAUAAAAUGAUUGUGGUUGUUUUAAGCCA
rnacentral:lncRNA from 1 species